GGAGAAAUGGCUCAGUGGUUAAGAGCACUUGCAGAGGACCUGGGCUCAAUUCCCAGCAUCUGCA
rnacentral:tRNA from 1 species